UACGGGGGGAGCAAGCGUUGUUCGGAUUUACUGGGCGUAAAGGGCGCGUAGGCGGUCGUGACAAGUCACUUGUGAAAUCUCCGGGCUUAACUCGGAACGGUCAAGUGAUACUGUCGGACUAGAGUACAGAAGGGGCAGCUGGAAUUCUCGGUGUAGCGGUGAAAUGCGUAGAUAUCGAGAGGAACACCUGCGGCGAAGGCGGGUUGCUGGGCUGAUACUGACGCUGAGGCGCGAAAGCCAGGGGAGCGAACGGG
rnacentral:rRNA from 1 species